rnacentral:piRNA from 1 species
AUACGUGCAGAGGAAAUUGGUUU